AGCGAACGCUGGCGGCAGGCCUAACACAUGCAAGUCGAACGAAGUCUUCGGACUUAGUGGCGGACGGGUGAGUAACACGUGGGAACGUGCCUUUAGGUUCGGAAUAACUCAGGGAAACUUGUGCUAAUACCGAAUGUGCCCCUCGGGGGAAAGAUUUAUCGCCUUUAGAGCGGCCCGCGUCUGAUUAGCUAGUUGGUGAGGUAAAGGCUCACCAAGGCGACGAUCAGUAGCUGGUCUGAGAGGAUGAUCAGCCACAUUGGGACUGAGACACGGCCCAAACUCCUACGGGAGGCAGCAGUGGGGAAUCUUGCGCAAGGGGCGAAAGCCUGACGCAGCCAUGCCGCGUGAAUGAUGAAGGUCUUAGGAUUGUAAAAUUCUUUCACCGGGGACGAUAAUGACGGUACCCGGAGAAGAAGCCCCGGCUAACUUCGUGCCAGCAGCCGCAGUAACAC
rnacentral:rRNA from 1 species